CGUUCAAAAGAAAUAACAAUCAAGUUAGCCAGAGCUUUGAAAGAUUGCUUAGAAAAUAGUCAAUGUUUAGAAUGUUUGGUCCUGCAAAACAUCCCAUUUCGAGAGCAAGAUGUUUAUAUUUUAGCAAAGGGUCUUGAGAAUUCAAAAUCACUCAAGCAUUUAUCUUUUGAAAAAUCUAAAAUUGGUGACACUUUAUUUAAAGUUAUUUGUAAAAGUAUCAAGAGUUCACAAACCUUGGUUUCAAUUAAUGUUAGUGGAUGUGGUUUAACCUGGAAAAGUGCUGAAGAUUUAGCUUCAAUA
rnacentral:lncRNA from 1 species